rnacentral:lncRNA from 1 species
GUGUAUAUAUCAAGUUAUCAACCAUCACAAAAACCCUAAUUAAAAUUAUUUGCUUUCUCUGUUGAGACAUGGAAGGACGCUACAUCGUACCUGCUUUGAAGAGGAAGGAGGAGACUCGUGAUGUAGAGCGUGAAUCAUGGGACGAGCUUCGUAGACGAAUCAACGGAUUAGUCAAUAAGGUAAACUCAAACAAUCUCCGUCACGUUGUUUUAGAAUGGUUGGAAGAGAAUCUCAUCAGAGGCAGAGGUCUUUUAUGCAGAUCAUGUAUCAAAUCUCAGAUCGCUUCUCCUCUAUUCUCCGACGUCAUC